CCCUUAGAUGUUCUGGGCUGCACACGUGCUACACUGGCAGGUUCAGCGAGCUUCAUGCCCUGAUCUGAAAGGAAUGGGAAAUCUUUUCAAAACCUGCCGUGCUUGGGAUAGAUGUUUGCAAUUAUUCAUCUUCAACGAGGAUUGCCUUGUAAGCGCACGUCAUCAGCGUGCAUUGAAUACGACCCUGUAUUCUGUACACACCGCCCGUCGCUCCUACCGAAUGAAGUUUUCGGUGAGUUGACAGGAGGAUUUUUUUGAAACUGGUUCGCCAGUGGAUUUUAGAUCCAAAUGCCAACGAAUCGAUGGCUUUAGAGGAAGGAGAAGUCGUAACA
rnacentral:rRNA from 1 species